UAAUUAAUAUUCAAAAAGAUGGCUCAAAAAGUGGAAGCAGGGGGUGGCGCCGGAGGAGCUUCAUGGGAUGAUGGUGUCCACGAUGGCGUUAGAAAGGUGCAUGUAGGGCAAGGCCAAGAUGGUGUGUCAUCUAUCAACGUCGUGUAUGCGAAGGACUCUCAGGAUGUUGAAGGAGGUGAACACGGAAAGAAAACGUUACU
rnacentral:sRNA from 1 species